rnacentral:rRNA from 1 species
GAUGAACGCUGGCGGCGUGCCUAAUACAUGCAAGUCGAGCGAACAGACGAGGAGCUUGCUCCUCUGACGUUAGCGGCGGACGGGUGAGUAACACGUGGAUAACCUACCUAUAAGACUGGGAUAACUUCGGGAAACCGGAGCUAAUACCGGAUAAUAUAUUGAACCGCAUGGUUCAAUAGUGAAAGACGGUUUUGCUGUCACUUAUAGAUGGAUCCGCGCCGCAUUAGCUAGUUGGUAAGGUAACGGCUUACCAAGGCGACGAUGCGUAGCCGACCUGGGAGGGUGCACGGCCACACUAGAACUGAGACACGGUCCAGACUCCUACGGGAGGCAGCAGUAGGGAAUCUUCCGCAAUGGGCGAAAGCUUGACGGAGCAACGCCGCGUGAGUGAUGAAGGUCUUCGGAUCGUAAAACUCUGUUAUUAGGGAAGAACAAAUGUGUAAGUAACUAUGCACGUCUUGACGGUACCUAAUCAGAAAGCCACGGCUAACUACGUG